CCUACGGGUGACUGCAGUGAGGAAUAUUGGUCAAUGGGCGUAAGCCUGAACCAGCCAAGUAGCGUGAGGGAUGAAGGUUCUAUGGAUCGUAAACUUCUUUUAUAUGGGAAUAAAGUGUGGGACGUGUCCUAUUUUGUAUGUACCUUAUGAAUAAGGAUCGGCUAACUCCGUGCCAGCAGCCGCGGUAAUACGGAGGAUCCGAGCGUUAUCCGGAUUUAUUGGGUUUAAAGGGUGCGUAGGUGGCCUUUUAAGUCAGCGGUGAAAGUCUGUGGCUCAACCGUAGAAUUGCAGUUGAAACUGGGAGUCUUGAGUACGUUUGAGGCGGGCGGAAUUCGUGGUGUAGCGGUGAAAUGCUUAGAUAUCACGCAGAACCCCGAUUGCGAAGGCAGUCCACUAAGCCAUGACUGACGCUGAUGCUCGAAAGUGUGGGGAUCGAACAGGAUUAGAUACCCGUGUAGUC
rnacentral:rRNA from 1 species